rnacentral:piRNA from 1 species
UGAGCUAUGCUGCCCAGGGUGACUGACUCA